CCUACGGGAGGCAGCAGUGGGGAAUAUUGGGCAAUGGGCGCAAGCCUGACCCAGCAACGCCGCGUGAAGGAAGAAGGGUUUCGGCUCGUAAACUUCUAUCAACAGGGACGAAAGAAAUGACGGUACCUGAAUAAGAAGCUCCGGCUAACUACGUGCCAGCAGCCGCGGUAAUACGUAGGGGGCAAGCGUUAUCCGGAAUUACUGGGUGGAAAGGGCGAGUAGGCGGCAUGGUAAGCCAGAUGUGAAAGCCUUGGGCUUAACCCGAGGAUGGCAUUUGGAACUAUCAAGCUAGAGUGCAGGAGAGGAAGGUGGAAUUCCAGGUGUAGCGGUGAAAUGCGUAGAUAUUGGGAAGAACACCAGUGGCGAAGGCGGCUUUCUGGACUGAAACUGACGCUGAGGCACGAAAGCGUGGGGAGCGAACAGGAUUAGAUACCCCUGUAGUC
rnacentral:rRNA from 1 species